rnacentral:lncRNA from 1 species
UGCAGCUCCAGGCCUUUCAGUUGUUUACUAGAAAGGACAGUCUUAAGCCAGAUACAGUUUACCAUAAGAAAGGUUAAAGAAUCCCAGUGAAGCAAGUUUUUUCUUUAGCCCUAGAUUCCAGGCAGAACUAUUGAGCAUAGAUAAUUUUCCCCCCUCAGGCCAGCUUUUUCCUUUUUUUUUUAUUUUGUUAAUAAUAGGGAGGAGAUGUAGUCUCCCCUCCCCCAGCCUGAAACCUGCUUGCUCGGGGUGGAGCUUCCUGCUCAUUCGUUCUGCCACGCCCACUGCUGGAACCUGAGGAGCCACACACGUGCACCUUUCUACUGGACCAGAGAUUAUUCGGCGGGAAUCGGGUCCCCUCCCCCUUCCUUCAUAACUGGUGUCACAACAAUAAAAUUUGAGCCUUGAUCAGAGUAACUGUCUUGGCUACAUUUCUUCUUUUGCCCCGUCUAGAUUCCUCUCUUACAGCUCGAGCGGCCUUCUCAGUCGAACCGUUCACGUUGCGAGCUGCUGGCGGCCGCAACA